rnacentral:tRNA from 1 species
GGUGGCUCAGUGGUAGAGCUCUUGCCUUGCAUGCAUGAGGGCCUUGCAUGCAUGAGGCCCUGGGUUCGAUUCCUCAGCACCA